rnacentral:rRNA from 1 species
CGGGAGGCAGCAGUGGGGAAUAUUGCACAAUGGGCGCAAGCCUGAUGCAGCCAUGCCGCGUGUGUGAAGAAGGCCUUCGGGUUGUAAAGCACUUUUGUCAGGGAAGAAAUCGUUCGGGCUAAUACCUCGGGCAGUUGACGGUACCUGAAGAAUAAGCACCGGCUAACUACGUGCCAGCAGCCGCGGUAAUACGUAGGGUGCAAGCGUUAAUCGGAAUUACUGGGCGUAAAGCGUGCGCAGGCGGUUUUGUAAGUCAGAUGUGAAAUCCCCGAGCUUAACUUGGGAACUGCGUUUGAAACUACAAGACUAGAGUGUGUCAGAGGGGGGUAGAAUUCCACGUGUAGCAGUGAAAUGCGUAGAGAUGUGGAGGAAUAUCAAUGGCGAAGGCAGCCUCCUGGGAUAACACUGACGCUCAUGCACGAAAGCGUGGGGAGCAAACAGGAUUAGAUACCCUGGUAGUCCACACCGUAAACGAUGAAUGCCAGUCGUCGGAUAGUAUACUAUUCGGUGACACACCUAACGGAUUAAGCAUUCCGCCUGGGGAGUACGGUCGCAAGAUUAAAACUCAAAUAAAUUGACGGGGACCCGCACAAGCAGUGGAGCAUGUGGUUUAA